rnacentral:rRNA from 1 species
GAUGAACGCUGGCGGCGUGCUUAACACAUGCAAGUCGAACGGAAAGGCUCCUGCUUGCAGGGGUACUCGAGUGGCGAACGGGUGAGUAACACGUGGGUGAUCUGCCCUGCACUUCGGGAUAAGCCUGGGAAACUGGGUCUAAUACCGGAUAGGACCACAUUUUGGAUGGUGUGGUGGAAAGUUUUUCGGUGUGGGCUGAGCUCGCGGCCUAUCAGCUUGUUGGUGGGGUAAUGGCCUACCAAGGCGUCGACGGGUAGCCGGCCUGAGAGGGUGUACGGCCACAUUGGGACUGAGAUACGGCCCAGACUCCUACGGGAGGCAGCAGUGGGGAAUAUUGCACAAUGGGCGCAAGCCUGAUGCAGCGACGCCGCGUGGGGGAUGACGGCCUUCGGGUUGUAAACUCCUUUCGCUAGGGACGAAGCGCAAGUGACGGUACCUGGAGAAGAAGCACCGGCUAACUACGUG